UCAUCAGGCGGUAAUGGAGGCUCAUCAGGCGGUAAUGGAGGCUCAUCAGGCGGAAAUGAAAAUUGCAAAGACUCAAGCUCCAAUUGUUCAUUCUUCAAAUCCAUGUGCKACACGCAUCUUUCUAUUCGUAAAGUCUGCCACAAAACGUGUGGCGUUUGCUAAAUAUCUUGUAAUUUCUACCAUUCGAUAUCACAAACAACUCUUUAAUUGUAUUUUCGUGGUUUAAKUUUCUUCAGUAAAUUCAAAUCKCUCACACMUUUUA